rnacentral:rRNA from 1 species
GACGAACGCUGGCGGCGUGCUUAACACAUGCAAGUCGAACGGAAAGGCCCUGCUUUUGUGGGGUGCUCGAGUGGCGAACGGGUGAGUAACACGUGAGUAACCUGCCCUUGACUUUGGGAUAACUUCAGGAAACUGGGGCUAAUACCGGAUAGGAGCUCCUGCUGCAUGGUGGGGGUUGGAAAGUUUCGGCGGUUGGGGAUGGACUCGCGGCUUAUCAGCUUGUUGGUGGGGUAGUGGCUUACCAAGGCUUUGACGGGUAGCCGGCCUGGGCGGGUGACCGGCCACAUUGGUACUGCGGUACGGCCCAGACUCCUACGUGCGGCAGCAGUGGGGAAUAUUGCACAAUGGGCGGAAGCCUGAUGCAGCAACGCCGCGUGCGGGAUGACGGCCUUCGGGUUGUAAACCGCUUUCGCCUGUGACGAAGCGUGAGUGACGGUAAUGGGUAAAGAAGCACCGGCUAACUACGUG